AUUGAACGCUGGCGGCAUGCCUUACACAUGCAAGUCGAACGGCAGCACGGGUGCUUGCACCUGGUGGCGAGUGGCGAACGGGUGAGUAAUACAUCGGAACAUGUCCUGUAGUGGGGGAUAGCCCGGCGAAAGCCGGAUUAAUACCGCAUACGAUCUACGGAUGAAAGCGGGGGACCUUCGGGCCUCGCGCUAUAGGGUUGGCCGAUGGUUGAUUAGCUAGUUGGUGGGGUAAAGGCCUACCAAGGCGACGAUCAGUAGCUGGUCUGAGAGGACGACCAGCCACACUGGGACUGAGACACGGCCCAGACUCCUACGGGAGGCAGCAGUGGGGAAUUUUGGACAAUGGGCGAAAGCCUGAUCCAGCAAUGCCGCGUGUGUGAAGAAGGCCUUCGGGUUGUAAAGCACUUUUGUCCGGAAAGAAAUCCUUGGCCCUAAUACGGUCGGGGGAUGACGGUACCGGAAGAAUAAGCACCGGCUAACUACGUG
rnacentral:rRNA from 1 species